rnacentral:rRNA from 1 species
UACGGGGGGGGCAAGCGUUGUUCGGAAUUACUGGGCGUAAAGGGCUCGUAGGCGGCCAACUAAGUCAGACGUGAAAUCCCUCGGCUUAACCGGGGAAUGGCGUCUGAUACUGGAUGGCUUGAAUCCGGGAGAGGGAGUGCGGAAUUCCAGGUGUAGCGGUGAAAUGCGUAGAUAUCUGGAGGAACACCGGUGGCGAAGGCGGCAUCCUGGACCGGCAUUGACGCUGAGGAGCGAAAGCCAGGGGAGCCAAAGCGGG